UGGCACAGUGAAUCCACAGCAUAGAGAAGAGCAGCAGGAGACACACACAAAACAGAACAUACACCAUUUUCAUAAUGAGAAAUGACUAGAUGGAGAAAAACUACCUACAAUCUCUGGAGGAGAGGAGACACGGAGCCACCAAGAAGUGAGCAGAUUUUCUCCACCAUAAUGUACCUGUUAUGAUGCUCUGCCUCACCACAGACCAAAAUGCGACCUCAUUAAGGCCACAGGACCAUGGACUGAAACUGAAAGGUACUCCAGCCUUUUAGAGGGGAAGUCUGAGAAGCUCUGAAACUUGAGGUGCCUACAAAGACAACUCAGCUGUUGUUGCCAAGGAACUAACAUGUCUGAGUUCUGGUAUCAGUAUCACUGGCUCCUGCUCAAAUAGCACAAACGAAAGAUGUAAAGUCAUUAGAGAAAAAGAACAGUUUGGUUUGAUCACUUGCACUGAGGUAAGCAUUCUGCCAUAUUCUGAGCAACUUUAAGGGAAUACCUACGUUGUGUGGUGAGGAACCGAGGGCCUCAGACCAACAAUGCAGAGAAACUGAAGCCUGCUAACAACCAGGUGCUGCUGAUCUAGAAGUCUUAAUUCCAAAAAGAAAAAUGCUUCCUCCAGGCACAUAACAAUGGGUCCACUGAAUUAAAGGCUGAGACUGUCACCUGACCAUUUUGGGCUCCUAAUGCUAUUGAGUCAACAGUUAGAUUGGACCACAAGAAUGAGUCUCAUGGAUGAUUUGGAUGGUGUAAAUGAAGCAACAGCCAUUGGGUAGCUCACAUACUUGGUUUGCUGCCUCUUCUUGCUGAUGUGAACUGUGGCUAGGACUAGAACUACUCUACCUUCUCCUCAAUCUUCCUGAGCCUCUGUGACUUCUACACCAGGAAACGAGAGUGGAGAGAGAGAGAGAGAGAACUGACACAGGUUUUAGGCUGUCCUCAUUGACUCACUGCCUCCAGUUUGUGCCUGGGAGUUCUAGUUUGUUCUUGCUCUUCCUGUUUUACAUCCUGACCACUUGCCUCAAGAACUUCAAGGUCCAGCAUUAGAUGCAAUCACAAUAGCUUUAUGGAGACUGUUCAGUAAACAACCACAACUGCAUAAGUCCUCAUCAUCACCCAACAAGGGAGGUACUAUUGUCUUUGUUUAAUGGAUGAAGACACUAAACCUGCAAGGGUAAGAGUCUUGCCACAAGUGGGUCACAAAUCUAAGAAGUGGAUCACAUAUCUAAGAAGUGGAUCACAUAUAGAUUGUAAAGGCAGAGACACAGAGGGAGAGCACUAUGUGAUGUUGAAAGCAGAGAUUGGAGUUAUGCAGUUUUGAGACAAAGUGAAAGGGGAGUAAAAAGCAACCAGAGAAAAGAAGCAGAUGGGGAAACCGCUUGUGAGAAUGCCUUGUUCUGCAAAACCUUAUCACAGGGGCAGCAAGGGGAGCUGCCUUCUAUGUGACCUUACCUGAGUAGUUCCCAAAUCCUUGUUCUUGGACAUGGGAGGGCUGGAUGCCCAAAAAUCUCCUGAGGAACAUGAAUUACAAAACCCAAGAAAAACAGAACCCCUGGCUUCACUCUGAUUUGGAGGGAUAAAGUGGGGUGUAGCAG
rnacentral:lncRNA from 1 species